rfam:Myceliophthora thermophila ATCC 42464 chromosome 7, complete sequence.
ACAUACGACCAUACCUACCAGAAAAUACGGGAUCCCGUCCGCUCUCCCUUAGUCAAGCUGGUAAGGGCCGAGUCAGUAGUUGGGUCGGUGACGACCAGCGAAUCCUCGGUGUUGUAUGUC